ensembl:rRNA 5S_rRNA 5S ribosomal RNA
GUCUACAGUCAUACCACCCUGAAAGUGCCCAGUCUCACCUGAUCUAGGAAGCUAAGCAGGGUCGGGCCUGGUUAGUACUUGGAUGGGGAAAAAAUGUUUUUAAUAGUCU